GACGAACGCUGGCGGCGUGCUUAACACAUGCAAGUCGAGCGGUAAGGCCCUUUCGGGGGUACACGAGCGGCGAACGGGUGAGUAACACGUGGGUGACCUGCCCUCAGCUCUGGGAUAAGCCUGGGAAACUGGGUCUAAUACCGGAUAUGACCCCAUGACGCAUGUCGUGGGGUGGAAAGCCUUGUGCGGCUGAGGAUGGGCCCGCGGCCUAUCAGCUUGUUGGUGGGGUGAUGGCCUACCAAGGCGACGACGGGUAGCCGGCCUGAGAGGGCGACCGGCCACACUGGGACUGAGACACGGCCCAGACUCCUACGGGAGGCAGCAGUGGGGAAUCUUGCGCAAUGGGCGAAAGCCUGACGCAGCGACGCCGCGUGAGGGAUGAC
rnacentral:rRNA from 1 species